GGUCCGGUGGUGUAGGGGUCAACAUGCCUGCCUGUCACGCAGGAGAUCGCGGGUUCAAAUCCCGUCCGGACCGCCA
rnacentral:tRNA from 5 species